rnacentral:rRNA from 1 species
GUGGGGAAUUUUGGGCAAUGGGCGCAAGCCUGAUCCAGCAAUGCCGCGUGCAGGAAGAAGGCCUUCGGGUUGUAAACUGCUUUUGUACGGAACGAAAAGGCUCUGGUUAAUACCUGGGGCUCAUGACGGUACCGUAAGAAUAAGCACCGGCUAACUACGUGCCAGCAGCCGCGGUAAUACGUAGGGUGCAAGCGUUAAUCGGAAUUACUGGGCGUAAAGCGUGCGCAGGCGGUUUUGUAAGACAGACGUGAAAUCCCCGGGCUCAACCUGGGAAUGGCGUUUGUGACUGCAAAGCUGGAGUGCGGCAGAGGGGGAUGGAAUUCCGCGUGUAGCAGUGAAAUGCGUAGAUAUGCGGAGGAACACCGAUGGCGAAGGCAAUCCCCUGGGCCUGCACUGACGCUCAUGCACGAAAGCGUGGGGAGCAAACAGGAUUAGAUACCCCUGUAGUCC